AUUGCCCUAGUAACGGCGAGUGAAGCGGCAACAGCUCAAAUUUGAAAUCUGGCCCUCGGGUCCGAGUUGUAAUUUGUAGAGGAUGCUUUUGGUGAGGUGCCUUCCGAGUUCCCUGGAACGGGACGCCAUAGAGGGUGAGAGCCCCGUCUGGUUGGACACCGAACCUCUGUAAAGCUCCUUCGACGAGUCGAGUAGUUUGGGAAUGCUGCUCUAAAUGGGAGGUAUAUGUCUUCUAAAGCUAAAUACCGGCCAGAGACCGAUAGCGCACAAGUAGAGUGAUCGAAAGAUGAAAAGCACUUUGAAAAGAGAGUUAAAAAGUACGUGAAAUUGUUGAAAGGGAAGCGCUUAUGACCAGACUUGGGCUUGGUUGAUCAUCCUGGGUUCUCCCUGGUGCACUCUUCCAGUUCAGGCCAGCAUCAGUUCGCUGCGGGGGAUAAAAGCUUUAGGAAUGUGGCUCCUUCGGGAGUGUUAUAGCCUAUUGCAUAAUACCCUGCUCCGGACUGAGGUUCGCGCAUCUGCAAGGAUGCUGGCGUAAUGGUCAUCAGCGACCCGUCUUGAAACACGGACCAAGGAGUCGUCUUCGUAUGCGAGUGUUCGGGUGUUAAACCCCUACGCGUAAUGAAAGUGAACGCAGGUGAGAGCUUCGGCGCAUCAUCGACCGAUCCUGAUGUUCUCGGAUGGAUUUGAGUAAGAGCAUACGGGGCCGGACCCGAAAGAAGGUGAACUAUGCCUGUAUAGGGUGAAGCCAGAGGAAACUCUGGUGGAGGCUCGCAGCGGUUCUGACGUGCAAAUCGAUCGUCAAAUAUGGGCAUGGGGGCGAAAGACUAAUCGAACCUUCUAGUAGCUGGUUUCCGCCGAAGUUUCCCUCAGGA
rnacentral:rRNA from 3 species